rnacentral:misc_RNA from 1 species
GGAAGGAUCAUUAACACUACAAGCUUUCAAACUUGUAUCUACCCCUUGGGUGCCUUGCCUCAGUGUCACUUUUUUUGACUCACUCGCUCUUUUUCUCUUUCUCACGAGAGGGAUCUAGAGUGCCUUUCAACUUUUUUAACCCCUGUUCAACCAACUGACUGAAACUAAUUGCCUUGACUGGCAAGAAAGCACAAAAUAUCUGUACAACUCUUAGCAACGGAUAUCUUGGCUCUCGCAACGAUGAAGAACGCAGCGAAAUGCGAUACGUAAUGCGAAUUGCAGAACUCAGUGAAUCAUCAAAUCUUUGAACGCAGUAGGCGCUCUCGGGAUAGACCUGAGAGCAUGCCUCUUUGAGUAUCGGUUCUACCAUCACUCAGCUUCGUGCUGGAAAAUGAGUGUUCUCGGCUCUCUCGAGCUGAGUCGCUUGAAAAUGACUGGAGACUUGGCUGCGCUUGCGCAACUGAGCCGCCUCCUACUUUCCUGCAAACGCCGAUCGCAGUCACAUGCGCUUCCUCUGUUUGUGGAUAUGAUGUACAAACAUUCAUAUCUAUACCAAAGCAAAUAGACUCAAGGAAACGUCGACUGAUGUAUAGGUGUUGCGCUGGGAGAGUGGCGGAAGCUGAUCUUUAGGAGAAGCUUUCGUAACUCCACGCCCCCCAACAAUUAAAACAUUAGAUCUCAAAUGAGGUAAGAGGACCCGCCGAAUUUAAGCAUAUUAUUAAGCGGAGGAAAAGAAACUAACCAGGAUUCCCCUAGUAACGGCGAGUGAAGCGGGAAGAGCUCAUAAUGAAAAUCGACUUGCCUAGCGGCAUUUCGAGUUGUAGUCUGGAGAAGCGCUGUCAGCAGUGACCCGGGUAUAAAUCUUUUGGAACAAGGUAUCAUAGAGGGUGAGAAUCCCGUCUGUGACUCGGAGUUCGCCGCGUACGACACGCUUUCGCAGAGUCGCGUUGCUUGGGAGUGCAGCGCAAAAUGGGUGGUAAAUUUCAUCUAAAGCUAAAUAUCAGCGAGAGACCGAUAGCGAACAAGUACCGUGAGGGAAAGAUGAAAAGAACUUUGAAAAGAGAGUUAAAAAGUACUUGAAAUUGCUAAGAAGGAAGCGAUGGCAACCAGUGACUGUUGCUUGUUAUUUUACUGGGCGCGGGGGAAGCACGGGUGCUGUCUCGUUCCGUAAGGUCGAGCGGUGUUCGCGUCGACUUUCGUGGCCGGGUCCUAUAGCAGGUGACGUGUCAGCGUGGGUUCGCGUCGCGGGAGAAAGCUGUGAGGAAGGUAGGCAUGCGUCUUCACGGACAAGUGCUGUUAUAUCCUCGCGGUGGCAUACCGUGGCGUGGAUCGAGGCCCUACACAGGGGACAACAUGCGCCGCAAGGCUCGUCCCGGGUGGCUCUGGUGCGUGACUGUCAAGGACAACAAAGUUGUGCUUGGUGGAGAGCGUGCUACUGGCUGUUCGUGUGAUAGAAGCAUGUUCGCGAGGCUGACGAAAUGGUUUUCAUUGACCCGUCUUGAAACACGGACCAAGGAGUCUAACAUGUAUGCGAGUAUUUGGGUGUGAAAAACCCGAGUGCGCAAUGAAAGUAAAGGUCGCCGUUGGGCGACUGAGGUGGGAACCGGGCGGGGUCAGAGUGCGCCCCCGGGGCACCAUCGACCGAUCGUUCACUUGUGAAAGAUUUGAGUGAGAGCAUAUACGUUGGGACCCGAAAGAUGGUGAACUAUGCCUGAGCAGGGCGAAGCCAGGGGAAACCCUGGUGGAGGCUCGACACGGUGCUGACGUGCAAAUCGUUCGUUUGACUUGGGUAUAGGGGCGAAAGACUAAUCGAACCAUCUAGUAGCUGGUUCCCUC